GACGAACCGUCCUAACGUUGUUCGGAUUCACUGGGCUUACAGGGUGCGUAGGCGGCUCAACAAGUCAGGUGUGAAAGCCCCCGGCUCAACCGGGGAACUGCGCUUGAAACUGUUAGGCUCGAGUCAGCUAGAGGUACACGGAACUUCCAGUGGAGCGGUGAAAUGUGUUGAUAUUGGAAGGAACACCGGAGGCGAAAGCGGUGUACUGGGGCUGGUCUGACGCUGAGGCGCGAAAGCCAGGGGAGCGAACGGG
rnacentral:rRNA from 1 species